rnacentral:sRNA from 1 species
AAAAAAAAAGAAGGUUCGCCGUAUGUUCUGAGGCGUGCCACGGAUAAAGGCUUGUGAAUAUGAAGUUAAUGGACAUAGAAAUGUAUCAUUUCCCAACAUAUUAAGUUGGCCUGACUUUGGUUCUAAGAGGAGAAAAUAAAGCUAAAAUUAUAAAAUGGAAUGCCAAAAUUCUAAAUUGAAGCAGAAUUCAACCAAAUAAAUGGAAUAACUUGGGUCCAGCUUUUAAUUAAUGUCACCAAAAGUUAAAUGGAAAUUUUUACAAUAAAAGUGCGGUGGCAAAAAAAAAUUCA